rnacentral:rRNA from 1 species
GACGAACGCUGGCGGCGUGCUUAACACAUGCAAGUCGAACGGAAAGGCCCUGCUUUUGUGGGGUGCUCGAGUGGCGAACGGGUGAGUAACACGUGAGUAACCUGCCCUUGACUUUGGGAUAACUUCAGGAAACUGGGGCGAAUACCGGAUAGGAGCUCCUGCUGCAUGGUGGGGGUUGGAAAGUUUCGGCGGUUGGGGAUGGACUCGCGGCUUAUCAGCUUGUUGGUGUGGUAGUGGCUUACCAAGGCUUUGACGGGUAGCCGGCCUGAGAGGGUGACCGGCCACAUUGGGACUGAGAUACGGCCCAGACUCCUACGGGAGGCAGCAGUGGGGAAUAUUGCACAAUGGGCGGAAGCCUGAUGCAGCAACGCCGCGUGCGGGAUGACGGCCUUCGGGUUGUAAACCGCUUUCGCCUGUGACGAAGCGUGAGUGACGGUAAUGGGUAAAGAAGCACCGGCUAACUACGUG